GAUGAACGCUGGCGGCGUGCCUAAUACAUGCAAGUCGAGCGAACAGACGAGGAGCUUACUCCUCUGACGUUAGCGGCGGACGGGUGAGUAACACGUGGAUAACCUACCUAUAAGACUGGGAUAACUUCGGGAAACCGGAGCUAAUACCGGAUAACAUGUUGAACCGCAUGGUUCAACAGUGAAAGACGGUCUUGCUGUCACUUAUAGAUGGAUCCGCGUCGCAUUAGCUAGUUGGUAAGGUAACGGCUUACCAAGGCAACGAUGCGUAGCCGACCUGAGAGGGUGAUCGGCCACACUGGAACUGAGACACGGUCCAGACUCCUACGGGAGGCAGCAGUAGGGAAUCUUCCGCAAUGGGCGAAAGCCUGACGGAGCAACGCCGCGUGAGUGAAGAAGGUCUUCGGAUCGUAAAACUCUGUUAUUAGGGGAGAACAAAUGUGUAAGUAACUAUGCACGUCUUGACGGUACCUAAUCAGAAAGCCACGGCUAACUACGUG
rnacentral:rRNA from 1 species